rnacentral:rRNA from 1 species
UGACCGGAUGCCGAUCUCGAAAACCUAGUCCCAGUUCGGACUGGAGUCUGCAACCCGACUCCACGAAGUUGGAUUCGCUAGUAAUCGCGCAUCAGCCAUGGCGCGGUGAAUACGUUCCCGGGCCUUGUACACACCGCCCGUCACACCAUGGAAGUCUGCAAUGCCCGAAGCCGGUGGCCUAACCACUUAUGUGGAAGGAGCCGUCUAAGGCAGGGCAGAUGACUGGGGUGAAGUCGUAACAAGGUAGC